rnacentral:rRNA from 1 species
UACAGAGGUCCCAAGCGUUGUUCGGAUUCACUGGGCGUAAAGGGUGCGUAGGCGGUCGGGUAAGUCUGACGUGAAAUCUUCAAGCUCAACUUGGAAACUGCGUCGGAUACUAUUCGGCUCGAGGAAUGGAGGGGAGACUGGAAUUCUCGGUGUAGCAGUGAAAUGCGUAGAUAUCGAGAGGAACACCAGUGGCGAAGGCGGCUCACUGGACCGGUACUGACGCUGAUGCGCGAAGCGU